AGGGAAGGCAAGUGAGUGCAGUGAUCUGACCUGUAAUUUGGAAAGACCAAACUGUCAAUGAUAAAGACAAGAUCUUAGCUGUAGUAAGCCCAUCAUUUAUGAGAAAAUUACAGAAAUCCAGCCAAUUAGUAAUGCAGGCUUCAAUUAUAGUAUUGCCAGAGGGAAUAGAAAAGAAAUGUUAUAAAGGUGACCAAGGGGAAAAAGUCCUAUCAGGAUCUAGCACUUCAUAAUAGGAGCUGUGUGAGGUACAAAAAUGAAUUAGAUAUUUUUCUAGACUUUAGUUAAUCAGCAAUGAUACUAAACACUUUACAGUGAUUCAAUCUUUAAAUCUGCAAACGAUUCCAUAAGGAAAGUAAUCUUGUCAUUCUCACAUUAUGAAAGAAGCCAUCAAGCAUAAGAAACUGAAGUCCUUUACACAGAGAUGCACUGGUAAGAGUGGCAGACUGAGAUAUUUAUUUGAGGUAGCCACCUUGGUUUGAUGCUCAUCACUUUAAGAAAAAAAAAUAGUCCAAGCAAAGCAGGGCAUUGAAUUGGGUCAGGAAAGCAGAGAAAGGCCUGUGAGAUAAGCAAUUUCCCACAGAAGGCACUUUGUUGUCCUGAAAAACAUAACAGAAUGAUGUGGGAAGACAAAAAAACAGAAACAGCAGCAGAUACAUGGACUGGAUAUUCUCAGUAUGUUUUGAAUAGGUCCUCCUCACACACAGAAGAUGAACACACUGGGCUCUUGGCCUGGCUUUGUUUUCUGAUUAACUCCGAUUGCUGCUUUUGAAUGGGCCAUGCAUCAGCUCCUCGGACAUCCAAAGGUAACAUAUUACGAGGAUACAGCUGACAUUUUGACAGCAGAGAGCUGUGGAGGAAGCAUCCCACCUCAGCUGCUGCAGUAUUGAACACUGGAUGGAUUCUACGUCUCCUCUCUACAUCUGGAUUCCUAAAUAUUGACUGGAGGGGGCAUGGAGGAAAUUUUGUUUGCUGCAGCUCAUCCUACAGUUCAUUAGCACCUUAGUGACUCAUAAUCUCACUUCAUUGAAUGUGUGUAUUUGGUAGAGUCAGCUUUCCUUUUGAAAUACCUUCAGUAAUAACCACAGUCCCUUUCAGGAUGGUGCUUCACGUAGGUUGUGCUGCAGUAGGCAAGGGGACCCUUAGUGCUUUAAUGUAAAAUGAGCAGCCCAGGGUCCUCCGGGGAGUUCAGAUUAAGAUACACAAGCUUUUAUCUCAUUCCAUGAAAUUUAACCUCAAACUCGCAGCAUAGUUUUUGGGAGCUCAUUUCUGAAGAGACUUAAUGACUUGCCAAUUUUAGAAAAAGGCCUAUAAUUUAUAUUUGAACUAAUAAUUUCAUAUUAUCAAUGAAGACAAUAUGGUGAGAAUAAACACAUCAAUAGGAAAUAAAAGCA
rnacentral:lncRNA from 1 species